CCAUCGGUGGUUCAGUGGUAGAAUGCUUGCCUGCCACGCGGGUUCGAUUCCCGGCUGAUGCA
rnacentral:tRNA from 1 species